AGCGCUGAAAGCAUCUAAGUGCGAAGCCUGUCUCAAGAUAAGAUUUCCCAUCUCUUUAUGAGAGUAAGGCCCCCUGGAGACUACAGGGUUGAUAGGUUACAUGUGUAAGAGUGGUAACAUUUUGAGCUAAGUAAUACUAAUGGUCCGAGGGUUUGACCCAUU
rnacentral:rRNA from 1 species